rnacentral:rRNA from 1 species
AAAUGAAUUGACGGGGGCCCGCACAAGCGGUGGAGCAUGUGGCUUAAUUCGAUGCAACGCGAAGAACCUUACCUGGUCUUGACAUGCAGUGGACCGUCCUUGAAAGGGGACUUCCCUUCGGGGCCGCUGCACAGGUGCUGCAUGGCUGUCGUCAGCUCGUGUCGUGAGAUGUUCGGUUAAGUCCGGCAACGAGCGCAACCCCUGUUCCUAGUUGCCAGCGCGUAAAGGCGGGGACUCUAGGGAGACAAACCUGUUUUACAGGUGGGAAGGUGGGGACGACGUCAAGUCAGUAUGGCCCUUACGGCCAGGGCUGCACACGUGCUACAAUGUCCGGUACAAAAGGAAGCGAAGUCGCGAGGCGGAGCAAAUCCUCAAAACCGGGCCCAGUUCGGAUUGGAGUCUGCAACUCGACUCCAUGAAGUCGGAAUCGCUAGUAAUGCUGCAUCAGCAACGGCAGCGUGAAUACGUUCCCGGGCCUUGUACACACCGCCCGU